rnacentral:rRNA from 1 species
CAAAAACAUGUCUUUUUGAUUAUAAUUUAAAGUCUAGCCUGCCCAAUGAUUAAUUGAAUGGCCGCAGUAUCUUGACUGUGCAAAGGUAGCAUAAUCAUUAGUUUUUUAAUUGAAAGCUGGAAUGAAUGGUUUGAUGAAAAAUAAACUGUCUCUUUAUAAAUUUUUUAGAAUUUUAAUUUUAAGUGAAAAAGCUUAAAUAUUUUAUAAAGACGAGAAGACCCUAUAGAGUUUUAUUAUUUUAAUAAUAAAUUAUUUUUAGUUUAAAUAUUUUUUUAUUAUUAAUAUAAUUUUGUUGGGGUGAUAUAAAAAUUAGAUUAACUUUUUAUUUAUUUUUACAUAUAUUUAUGAUUUUUUGAUCCUUUAUUUAAGAUUAAAAGAAUAAAUUACCUUAGGGAUAACAGCGUAAUUUUUUUGGAAAGUUCUUAUUUAUAAAAAAGUUUGCGACCUCGAUGUUGGAUUAAAAUUUAUAUUUGGUGUAGGAGCUAAAAUAUUAGGUCUGUUCGACCUUUAAAAUUUUACAUGAUCU